UUGCGCAAUGCGUGUUUGAGCACGAUAUCAGAGAACUUCACACCCUUAAGGCGCGCCGUGCGAAUAUAUUGCGCGGUCAUAACCUCGGCCAUAGAGGCCCGCGUCAUCCGCGCGAUAUAUCCCAUGCCAUAAAGCGAAAUCGUCAACACCGGCAGGAAGAAAUUCCAGAAGUUUGCAUCC
rnacentral:ncRNA from 1 species